rnacentral:rRNA from 1 species
UACGUAGGUGUCGAGCGUUGUCCGGAUUUAUUGGGCGUAAAGAGCCCGCAGGCGGCUUGUCUAGUCCGAGGUGAAAUCUCCCGGCUCAACUGGGAGGGUGCCUCGGAAACUGGCAGGCUUGAGGCAGGGAGAGGGAUGUGGAAUUCCAGGUGUAGUGGUGAAAUGCGUAGAUAUCAAGAGGAACACCUGAGGUGAAGACGGGUUGCUGGGCUGACACUGACGCUGAGGCGCGAAAGCUAGGGGAGCAAACGGG